GUUGAACGCUAGCUACAGGCCUAACACAUGCAAGUCGAGCGACCGGCGCACGGGUGAGUAAUCCGUAUCCCACCUGCCCUUUACUCGGGGAUAGCCUUUCGAAAGAAAGAUUAAUACCCGACAUAAAGUAUGCGGAUGCGUUCCAUUAGGUUGUUGGUGAGGGAACGCCCCACCAAGCCUUCGCUGGAUAGGGGUUCGGAGAGGAAGGUCCCCUACAUCGGAGAUGGGGCACGGUCCAAGCUCGUACGGGAGGCAGGAGUAAAGUGUAUGUGGGGAUGGGCGUUAGCGUGACCCAGCCAAGUAGCGGGAGGAAGGAAGGCGUAGGGGUCGUAAACUUCUGUUGUAUAAGAGUCGUUAGUAUAAGAAUAAGGAUCGGCUAACUCCGAGCCAGCAGCCGCGGUAAUAC
rnacentral:rRNA from 1 species